CCUACGGGAGGCAGCAGUGAGGAAUAUUGGUCAAUGGACGAGAGUCUGAACCAGCCAAGUAGCGUGAAGGAUGACUGCCCUAUGGGUUGUAAACUUCUUUUAUAUGGGAAUAAAAUGUUCCACGUGUGGGAUUUUGUAUGUACCAUAUGAAUAAGGAUCGGCUAACUCCGUGCCAGCAGCCGCAGUAAUACGGAGGAUCCGAGCGUUAUCCGGAUUUAUUGGGUUUAAAGGGAGCGUAGGUGGAUUGUUAAGUCAGUUGUGAAAGUUUGCGGCUCAACCGUAAAAUUGCAGUUGAAACUGGCAGUCUUGAGUACAGUAGAGGUGGGCGGAAUGCGUGGUGUAGCAGUGAAAUGCUUAGAUAUCACGAAGAACUCCGAUUGCGAAGGCAGCUCACUGGACUGCAACUGACGCUCAUGCACGAAAGCGUGGGUAUCGAACAGGAUUAGAUACCCGGGUAGUC
rnacentral:rRNA from 1 species